AUGUAGGCAGGUUUCUAUAAGCCCUUUUCUAAACUAGGUGUUUAUCCUUGGUCCCUGUCCUUGACUUGCCUACCCAGUAUUAGAAGAAAUCCUGCUAUGAUAAGAAUAUAGAAGUGAUGGAACUCAACCAAAGAGCAUUCCUGGAAGUGAAAUUGGAACACUUAUCAGAAGUUUUCUGAGUUCUUCACAGAAGCAGCAACAAUGGAAAAAAUUCCAGUAGCAUAUUAGCAGAUAUCUUCUCCAGAUGGCAGUCACUCUAUUAACAGCAGGAAAGCAAACUUAAGCACCCAGCUUGCGUCCAAUCCAGCACAAAGUUACUCUAAGAGAAUAUCUAAGAUGGGUCAUCAAUUAAAUUCACUCUGAGGGGCUAUUAAGGUAUAAUAUAUUGUCAGUUCAGCUAAAUUACACUUCUAAACAAA